UACGAAGGGGGCUAGCGUUGCUCGGAAUUACUGGGCGUAAAGCGCACGUAGGCGGUCUUUUAAGUCGGGGGUGAAAUCCUGGAGCUCAACUCCAGAACUGCCUUCGAUACUGGAAGACUUGAGUCCGGGAGAGGUGAGUGGAACUGCGAGUGUAGAGGUGAAAUUCGUAGAUAUUCGGAGGAACACCAGUGGCGAAGGCGGCUCACUGGCGCGGUACUGACGCUGAGGUGCGAAAGCGUGGGGAGCAAACAGG
rnacentral:rRNA from 1 species